GGAGCCUGCGGCUUAAUUUGACUCAACACGGGAAAACUUACCCGGCCCGGACAUGGGGAGGAUUGACAGAUUGAGCGCUCUUCUUUGAUUUGGUGGAUGGUGGUGCGAUUUGUCUGGUUAAAUCCCAUAAGGAACGAGACUCUAGCCUAUUAAAUAGGUGCGUGGUUCUCUGCGCCUUAAACCCUCCUUAGAGGGUAAGCGGCUCCUAGCCGCACGAAACAGAGCAAUAACAGGUCUGUGAUGGCCUUAGAUGUCUAGGGCCGCACGCGCGCUAC
rnacentral:rRNA from 1 species